UUAUCUUUCAAGAUCGAGAUUAUCUCCAUCUCUUUCUCCAACGACGGUCGCCACCACUACCACCAGUUCCAGCAACCUCAUGUAUUUAGAACGAUGAUUUUAGUGUUAGUGGAGGUGGAUGUUAGGGUGGUUGCUCCAUUGGGGGUGGUUGUUGAUGCUGCAGUGGAGGUGAUAAUAGUAGUUGUAGUACUGGUGUUGGUAAUGGAUGUUGCACAGAUGGUAAUGCUGGUUUUUGUUGUACUGAUGGGGGUGGGGGUGCAGCAUUAAUUAGUGUUAUGAAUCCAAUGGCAUCACAAAAAUGAUAUUUAACCUUAUCUCUUAACAAACUAGAUGUGUAGUAGUACUAAUGCCGGUGCUAGUGUUUACAACAGUGGCGGUGGAUGUUCUAGCAUUAUUGUUAAGGAAUUUGGUGGUUUGCUGAAUUGUGGAUGUGUAUUGGUGUUGGACUGAUGGUAUUGGUGGUACCGUUGGAGGUGGUUUGAUGUUGGUAUUGGUGGUGGAUCAAGAAGGUAGUCUGCUCUUGUAUGUUUAACCAACUGUUGACACCAUUCAGUUAGUAUUAUUAUGAUUAUGAAUAUAGUAGGCGAUAUAGUUGGCACAAAUAGUAAGGUAUAUGGUAUUUGAAGUUGUUAAUCGGGUUGUUGUAUGGUUCUUAUUGUUUUCGGUGUUUAUUGCGGGUAUGUAAGAGAUGAUCAUUUUUAUUUUUGUGAUAUAUUUAUUGUUGUA